UGGGUAAACCAGACAAUCGCGUGCAGUGAUGCAUGAGGAAAGUCCGGGCUCCAUAGGGCGAGGAUGCCGGAUAACGUCCGGCGUAGGUAACUAUAGGGAAAGUGCAACAGAAACAUUCCGCCGAAACGGGUUAUGCCGUGGUAAGGUUGAAAUGGUGAGGUAAGAGCUCACCGGCGUCAUGGAGACAUGACGGCCGUGUAAACCCCAUCCGGAGCAAGGUCAAAUAGGGCGCAAAAGCGGCGGCCCGUCGCUGCCCGGUAGGUAGACCGCAAGAGCGUGCAGUAAUGUUACGCCUCAGAUAGAUGAUUGUCUAAUACAGAACCCGGCUUAUAGGUUUGCCCAUACU
rnacentral:RNase_P_RNA from 1 species